CCUACGGGAGGCAGCAGUGGGGAAUCUUGCGCAAUGGGCGAAAGCCUGACGCAGCCAUGCCGCGUGAAUGAUGAAGGUCUUAGGAUUGUAAAAUUCUUUCACCGGGGACGAUAAUGACGGUACCCGGAGAAGAAGCCCCGGCUAACUUCGUGCCAGCAGCCGCGGUAAUACGAAGGGGGCUAGCGUUGCUCGGAAUUACUGGGCGUAAAGGGAGCGUAGGCGGAUAGUUUAGUCAGAGGUGAAAGCCCAGGGCUCAACCUUGGAAUUGCCUUUGAUACUGGCUAUCUUGAGUACGGAAGAGGUAUGUGGAACUCCGAGUGUAGAGGUGAAAUUCGUAGAUAUUCGGAAGAACACCAGUGGCGAAGGCGACAUACUGGUCCGUUACUGACGCUGAGGCUCGAAAGCGUGGGGAGCAAACAGGAUUAGAUACCCUGGUAGUCCACGCUGUAAACGAUGAGUGCUAGUUGUCGGCAUGCAUGCAUGUCGGUGACGCAGCUAACGCAUUAAGCACUCCGCCUGGGGAGUCGGUCGCAAGNUUAAAACUCAAAUGAAUUGACGGCUGAGAGNGCGAGACGACGACGAGGGAGAG
rnacentral:rRNA from 1 species